CUUACUUUUGCUUUGCACUGUGGACUUGCCCUGAAUUCUUUCUUGUGGGAGAUCGAAGAACUCUCUCUUGGUGUCCGGAUCGGGACUCCUUUCCGGUAACAUCACUAUGUUGCCCAGGCUGGUCUUGAACUCCUGGCCUCAAACCAUCCUAUAGAUUCGACCUCCGAAAGUGCUGGGGUUACAGGCAUAGCCACUGUGCCCAGCUGGAACAAUCUUUAUGAAGGUGAAUUAAAGCUGUGAGGCAUGAGACCAGAAAAGAUGCACCAGGAGUAAUGGAUUUUGGUGGAGAAUGAGCCACAGAAACGCGAUCAUGAGGCAAAUGGUGGGGCCUAACCCUGCCUUCUCAGUCCUCGGGAUGGGAGACCGGGCUAGAGAAGAGAAGGCUGGUGUGAAAACGCCGGGAGGCCCUCAUCGAGCCUCAUUCUCAGCCACAUCGUAAGGAUUUAGAGGCCCUAAGCACUGACGACGCUGUGGUGCCACAAAAAUAGACAAGCAGGGCAUGUGCGCUGAAGCUGGAAGAGGCUUCUUCCAUAUUUUCAUUGCAAAAUCAGAACUUUGUUGGUAUUUGAGAUGUUAAGAAUGGAAACGCUGAUUCCCCUCAGACCCGCUUUGCAGAUAACCCUGCAUUUUACCGAGAUGUCAAAGCAGGAAGUGCUUGGCUGGAACAUCUGCCGACAGCCUCAUCUCUUUCUGCAAGAUCAUGAUGUUCUGCAUGCUCCUGUGGCCUCUUAUUUCACGUUGCUUUUGCUUUAUUUUUAUUUUUUUCCAUGUUUCCUCCUGGCAAGCUCUCCCUGCAAAUUUUGAAACAACUUUAAAGAUGAAUAAAAAGCAGCUCAGCAAGUGAAUCCCAGAUCCCGGGCCAAACUCCGACGCCCACGAGCUCGCUCAGAAUUGGCUCAGGCUGCAAUCACUUCUCUUCUCCUACCUCCACACCAUUCCCUGAUGGUGGACAGCUUCUCCUUUGAGAACCACACCUGCCUUUUCAGACAAAAGGAGACACCACCCACCCUCCUGCUGAGGGCUGCUCCCCUGGGGCCUUCUCAGCACACCUCUCUCUCUCUAGGUCAAAAAACAAAUUUCACAUGCUGAAUUUUUACCUUUUUUAAAGUGACUCCGAAUUUUGGCACCAGCAAUUAAUUCAACACUUGAAUAAGAUUUGAAAACCUCACAACAAAUCACAAAUAUAUUAUGGGUCCUGUU
rnacentral:lncRNA from 1 species